AGUAUUGUCUUCCACCUCUUCACUCUGAGUCUGUGUUUGUCCUUGUGGCUGAGGUGUGUUUCCUGGAGGCAACAAACUGUUGGAUCUUGUUCUUUAAUCCAUUUUACCACUCUGUGUCUCUUUAUCGGAGAAUUCAAUCCAUUUACAUUGAGGGACUUCCAGGAAUAUGUUGAAUUAAAGUGGCAAGAGUGGGCAUCCUUGUCUUGUUCCUUAUCUUAGAAGACAUUCUUCCAGCUUUUCAUCAUUGAGUAUGAUAUCAGCUGUGGGCUUGUCAUAUACGGCCUUUAUAUUGUAUUGAGGGUAAAUCUGAUUCCUGUAACUCCAUCUUGGCUAGAAGUAGAUGGUUACAGCUUCACUCUUAACGUUAUAGCACCUGCAACCUUCUUCAAAGGAAUUCUCUUCAGUUACUAGAGCCACUUCUCAUGGAGAGCUGAAGAUGUCUGAAGUUUACAAAUCCUUGGAGUAGCCAGUAGCCAGCCACUGGUUCAGGAGUAUGAAAGUCUAAUUCCUUUGCCUCCAGGUGGGAUAAACUCUUUCUUUGUAAUUUAUGCUCUGGAGCUCCCCUGGACCAGGCUGAUGUUGAAAUCAUACCCUUGCUUUUCUUACUCUCCUUUCUGAUCCUGCUUCCCUGCCUCCCUUACUGGUUUCAUAGUGGAGCACAUUUCUAAUAAAUCACUUGCACCUGAAUCCACAUCUCAAUGUCAGCUUUUAGAGAACACAACCUAAAAUCAGCUCACAUUUUAAAACUGCUCUUCUGUAAAAUGUCUCCUUGAUUGGUUUAUUUUGCUUUUCUCCCACAUUUUUUUUUAAUUGUUCACAUGCUCAAAGGAACUUUAGAAUAAAAGUGUUGAGCUGAAUAGAUAUUUAGAAUAUAUCCAACCAAACUCCCUCAUUUAAUAAAUGAAGCAACUGAGGCUCAGGAUGUUAAAUAAAUAAAUAACCCAUGUUUACAUACCCUAUGAGUAACAGAGGUAAGCUCAAAUUCAGGUUUCCUGAUUUGGGCUUAUUCAGGUAAAACAUGCUCUUAAUUUCAUAGUGAUCAGGUUUUACUAGCUAUUAGAAAGUAUGUUGCAAACCCUUACUUAUGAAUAUUGGCAGAUAUAAAUGUUUGUGCAAACUUUUUCUGCAGGUGCAAGUUUGUACUUGUACCAGUUUGAUUGCCUUCCUCAUUUUAUGAUCUUUGAACAUUAAUCCUUGUUGAAGGGUGAAGUGAACACCUGCAUUUAAAAAAAUCUUUUAAAUUUAAAUCUAAUAUCAAAACCCAAUCAUAUUCACAUCUUCUCCUUCUCUUCUCUUCUCUAUCUCUCUUUCCUUCCCUCAGUCAUAGGCAAUGUGAAUUUGAAGCAAAAAUCAGAGAGUCUUCAAUGACUUACUGGUAUAUGGUCACCCUAAAUUGUGCUGUGAUCUUGAGACCAGUGGCCAUGUUGAACUUUAAGCAAAAAGAAGUGGGAUUCUGAAUUACAUGUUUUCAUCUUUCUUAAUUUACUCUUAUUUUGUAGCACAUACUUCAGUAGUUUCUUAAUUUUAUUUUCUGUGGAACUUUAUCUUCCAAUUCCUGUUGACUUUAUUUCUGAUACCAUGUUUUUACUUUCUUUUUCUUUUUUUUUUAAAGAUUUUAUUUUUUUCCUUUUUCUCCCCAAAGCCCCCCCGUACAUAGUUGUAUAUUCUUCGUUGUGGGUCCUUCUAGUUGUGGCAUGUGGGAUGCUGCCUCAGCGUGGUUUGGUGAGCAGUGCCAUGUCCGCACCCAGGAUUCGAACCAAUGAAACACUGGGCCACCUGCAGCGGAGUGCGCGAACUUAACCACUCGGCCACGGGGCCAGCCCCUCUAAUAUCUUUUUCAUUCUCCAAAAGUUCCAUUUUUAGAUAGCCUUCUGUUCUUGUUUUAUGCAAUUAGUAUCUUUUCUUAUUUCUUUGAAGAUAUUAAUAUAAUGGGGUUUUUUAAAUUAUUAUUCUGCUCCCUAUAUUGACUAUUUUCUGUAAGUUCUUUUUAUCUUUUGGUUUCUUUUUUGUCUCUUUCAUGUUAGAUCUCUCUAUACCUUAGAAUAAGACAUAAAAAUGCUGAUAUGCAACUCUGCCUUCCUAGGAGGAAUUUGUUUAUUUAUAUUAGGAUGAUGUUGACUGGUAUGCUUAACAUUAGAGUAGGGUUUCCCAUCUUUGGCACUAUUGACGUUUAAGAUAGGAUAAUUAUUUUGGGGGGCAGGGAGGGGAGUAGGAUAUGCUGUCCUAUGCAUUGUAGAAUGAUCAGUAGCAUCCCUGGCCUCUAGCUACUAGAGGCCAGUAGCACACCCUUCCCCUACCUCUCUCAGUUGUUUACAAUCGAAAAUUUCUCCAGACAUUGUCAAAUGGUCCCUAGGGCCAAAAUCAUCCCUGUUACUAACCACUGCACUAGGAUGAUGAGAGUUUUGAGAGUUUCUUGCAGAGAAACUCUCCAGUUUCCUGCUUUCUGAGUGAAGAGUAUGAACCUGGUUACCAGCAUUCAGAAGCGAAGCAGAGGAAUGGACCUGGGCAUCUCUCCAUUCAAUAUAGAGAUUUUGUCUUAACCUCUGUGGAAUAAUGGUCUCUCAAAGAUGUCCACAUCCUAAUCCCAGAAGUCUUCGAAUACGUUAUGUUACAUGGCAGAGGAGAAUUAAGGUGGCAGAGGGGAAUAAAGUUUGAGAUGGAAUUAAGGUUGAUAAUCGGCUGACUUUAAAUGGGGAGAUUAUCCUGGAUUGUAUAGUUGGAUUUAAAUAUGGAGGAGGAAGGCAGCAGACUCAGUGUCAAAAUGAUGCAACAUGAGAAAGACUUAACUGGCCAUUACUGGCUUUGAAGAUGGAAAGGGGCCAUGAGCCAAGAAAUGCAGGCAGCCUCUAGAAGCCGGAAAAGACAAGAAAACAGAUUCUCGUCUAGAACCUCCAGAAGGAGUUCAACCCUGCUGAGACCCUGACUUUAACCCAGUGAGGCCCAUUUUGGACUACUGAUCUCCAGAACUUGUGGAACUUGACCGUUCACCCUCAGUCCUGCCUGGUAUUCUCAAGUCCAGAACAUCCUGGGACAAUCUCUCCCAGCACGAAUCAACAAGUCCUGCCUAUUGUCUGCCAACAUUGCAGAAGGGGCCCGUCUCCAGGUCUCCGGGUUGCGGAAUGGAUCUAGUGAGCAAACUGCUUUUUAAGCAGAUUUUCAACCAAUCCUCCCAUUUCAAGACUCCCUCCCAACUCCUCAAGUCUAUAUAGAGGCACCUUGUGCCUUCAAUUCCUGAAGUUUUAUAGGAUUCCGCAGCAGAGAUAGACUUGCUUUGAUUAUUGCAAGUACAUUUCCUCUUUCCAUGCUCUGCUAAAUCAGACACCUCUCAUCCUCGUUCCUUCUUCCAAAAUUUACAGACAUCUCUUGUCUGCUUCCUCUCAUUCUUUUUGAGCCUUAAGAUUUCAUGCUGUUUUGGUUCUUUAUUGUCAUUUUAGUGGGACUUUAAGAAAUAAUGGAAAUAAAUACUCAUGUUCAACUAC
ensembl:lncRNA